CGGUGGUGGCUAGAAAUUGAUGGAAACAGUGGGAAAAAACACACAAACUGGAAUGUAACAAGACCUAACCAGUAAUAAGACCUCGACCAGGACACAAACUCAACACUAGGGACUCUGAAACUGAAAUAUGCAAAGGCUAUGGCGCGGAUGGGUUGUAGGACAUGAAAACAAUAUGGCAAUAGACUUAUGGGACGAACACAAGGACACUUGAAACUAAGGGUAGAUGUGAACCUAACGAUAUGUCUGAAGCUUUGAUUACCACUUCAGGAGAACAAGUGUGGCCCGAUCUUCCGAAACUUUCUGGUAACUAUCGAUUUGGUGGAAACGAGAGACAUAUCAAUCCAGCUUGCGAACAACACAAUUCGAAACCCUACAAUUCUUUUUAUUUUUUUUGAUAUUUUUCUUUUACUAAGGAGCACUCAAGAAGUAACUCCAGGAAAUUUGAGCUUAAACAAGUAAAAGAUGUGGCCCGUGGAAUUUUUUGAAGAUUGUGAAAAAUAUGAAAAAAAUUUAGGAGGUGAAAACUCAAACUUCAGAGGCAAAUUUGGGGAUUCUAAAAUUGUCGAACCCGCCGUUGGCGGGAUAGACAGAUCCAAAAAAAAUUUCUGAUUGAUUUUGAUAUAUGGAACGUCAAAAUUGGAGUUCGUAUGCGAAAGUUAUGGCUGUUUUACGAACGGACUCCGAAUUAGAGGACAAAACGGUCCGGAAGUGGGAAAAAUUUGCGAUGGUGGCUAGAAAUUGAUGGAAAUAGUGGGAAAAAAACUGGACUGUAACAAGACCUAACCAGUAACAAGACCUAGACCAGGACAAAAACUCAACACUACGGACUCUGAAACUGAAAUAUGCAAAGGCUAUGGCGCGGAUGGGUUGUAGGACAUGAAAACAAUAUGGCACUAGACUUAUGGGACGAACACAAGGACACUUGAAACUAAAGGUAGAUGUGAACCUAACGGUAUGUCUGAAACAUUGAUUACCACUUGAGGAGAACAAGUGGGCCC
rnacentral:lncRNA from 1 species